rnacentral:rRNA from 1 species
UGGGGAAGUAUUGCACAAUGGGCGCAAGCCUGAUGCAGCCAUGCCGCGUGUAUGAAGAAGGCCUUCGGGUUGUAAAGUACUUUCAGCGGGGAGGAAGGCGAUAAGGUUAAUAACCCUUGUCGAUUGACGUUACCCGCAGAAGAAGCACCGGCUGAACUCCGUGCCAGCAGCCGCGGUAAUACGGAGGGUGCAAGCGUUAAUCGGAAUUACUGGGCGUAAAGCGCACGCAGGCGGUCUGUCAAGUCGGAUGUGAAAUCCCCGGGCUCAACCUGGGCAACUGCAUUCGAAACUGGCAGGCU